GGGAAGGUCGACGUUUCUCGUGAAAGUGGAUGACAGACUGCGAUAAGCGUGUGCGGAAUUUGUAGAAAAGUAAACACUGGGCGCGACCGCGCUCAUCUUUCUAGAUCAGCGGAUAUGCAAACAUGCACGCAGGCCACACGGGCCAUUUUGAAUCGUUGUCACGAAGCGUAAUGGAAGGUGUCGUCUGCAAAGUUUUUGGCGGCGGGGUGGAGCCGUGAUUGGAAUUUUUAUUACAUUAAUUACAUUCCUCGUCGAAUCUAUACUGCAGCACUUCAUCUCUUCCCUAAUCGAGGCGGCGCCGAGAUGACAAUAAUGGCCUAAGUUCCACUUGUUCGUCUUCUUCGAAGUUCCUCCGGCCUCUAUCCCUUCCAUCGUUCAUCUUAUUUCAGUUACGCUAGAGAUGCUGCGUACAGAACCCUUCUGCUUUGCUCUGUAUUUCCAAGAAAUCACGGAAAAGGCCUUGGUCUCUCAGCAGCGAGCCCAUGAUCUCGAGGUUGCGCCUAGGGACCUUUCGAGGAUGCAAGCAGAUGGCAGUCGUGGUACAAGAUGCCCAGAUAAUAAGCUGCAGCAAAGAUGUCAUUUGUGCAGGCGAGCCGAGCGGAUGUCCUAUCGGAAAGCAGAUCAAACGAGAGGAAGGGGGGGAGUUCAUGUCGCUACA